rnacentral:SRP_RNA from 1 species
GCUGGAAAUGGUGGCGCAUUUCUGUAAUCCAAGUUUCUGGGAGGCUAAGAAUUGUGAAUCGACGAUCGGUGGGAGUACUGGUUAGCGUUGCGUCUAUGUAGAUCCGGCGUCCACACUAAGCACGGCGUCAAUAUGGGCAAUAUCGGGUAGCCGAUUGUUGUCCAGGUUGGCCAUAAUGAGGAGCGAAACGGCUCAGAGUGGAAACACCACAGGCAAAAGCUCCCGCGUCGUGCGGUAGUGGGAUCGCGCCAGUGAAUAGACUGCCACUAUUCAGCCCAUUUGAUACGUAGGGACCAUUUCUUUU